GGUCCCUAACCCAGUCCUCAUGGGCCACCAAAAGUCCAGGAUUUAUAUAUUUCCCUUUUUUAUUCAAAUGGCAUACUAACAAAACAUGGACUAUUGUUGGCCCAUGAGGACUGGGUUGGGGAC